UUACUCCCCUGGUGGUGCCUCCCUCCUUGGCGCGGUUCCCGCCUGCGAUCAGCGCCCUCUUCGCAGUCACGAACUCGCCAGCAGCUAGCAGCACUUACUAGUAGGAGGGCCCACCGGAGGAGAGCCGCGCGGCCCACCGAAGCUGAACGCGCGUCCAGCGCGCCCUGCCCGCUCGCCCCAGACAGAUGCCCCGUUAUUCAUUACCCCGAGGCCUAGAGGAGCGAAUGGCUGCCGUAUUCCUGCCCAGAGCCAGCCGGAUCCUCCGUCGCGGCUGCCCGGUCCCCGGAGCCGCAGCCGCCGAGCCCGGCUGUGCGUGUCGUGGCUGCUGGGGAGAAAGGCGUCCGGAAACCCCAGAGAGAUUGGUGAUGGUGAUUUCCCAGGAAGACAUGGUGUGCUCUGACUUCUGUGACAGUGAGCAACAGGACCAGUGGAUGUCCAGAUGCUGGCAAUGAGACAUGCUCUGGAGUCAGAAGACAGCAAAAAGAGAAGCAGAAGCCCUGGUGGCGGGAGUCCGAAGCAGGAAGGAAUCACUGUAACCUGUGGAUUGUACUGCAGUAGGAAACUAUCCUAGCAAGGCUCCACUUUGCCCCAGCUUCAAGCUGGAAAGGAGGAGAACAUGAAACGUUGCUUGAAGACAAUGGCCGAGACAGCAGGUCCCACCCUACACAGCCGCCAACAUCUCUUCCCUCAGCCUUGUCUCCUCUUCUGCAGUUGGGAUCUGCACAUUUAGGCCUGAAAUUGUCCUGUGAAGUGAAGUAUGAUCGGACAACCUCUUUUCAGCUUUUAUGAAAACGGAGACAGAGGAACUGUGGCUCUUGCCAAGGUCACAGGAUUGGAACACAGAGCCAAGCCACCCCAGGACAUGCAAGAGCCUCAGAAGGGAAAAAGCCCAGCACGAAGGGAGAACAAGUAGCCUCUGUUCUGAGGUUGUAACAGCCAGGGACCAGGAUGGAGGAAGAGGACCCCGUAAUCCUGCCCAUCUGGGACUUGGCAGGGGACCUGGGAAAAUGUACCCCAACCCAUCCCUCAAGGGCCUUUGCCUUUGGCCCAUUGGCCUAGCAUCUCCUUCUUCACUAUGUCUGUUCUUGUCAGAUCUGUUUGGGUCUGAGGUGCAUGGAACAUUCUGGGUAGGCCUCCAGCAAACGGAAGCUCUUCACCGUGUUUCCAGCCUAGGACCAAGGGCAGCACACUGGCAAAGUUGCCCAAGCAAGGGACUCCAGCCUUCUAGGAGUUAAUGACUCCCUCUCCCCAGCUGUCCUCCCCUUGGUGCUCCUCUUCCUCCCUCCUCCUGCUCACAGCAGGCAGGGCCUGGACCCGGGAGCCAUGCUGCUGUGCUGUUGCCAGGGGAGCCCGGAGGCAGAUCUGAGCUAUGCAGGGAAAAGGCCCGGCCUGUCAAAGUGUCUGAGAUGAACCGCCGCCGUCCCUGUGCAGCUGGGCUCAGACGUGUCUCAGCUCUUGUUCUGUGCCUGAGAAUGGCGAAACCCAGUGAGGUUCAAGGGCAAACUCUCUAUUCAUUAGUCAGGGGUUCUUGACGUCCCGUCUCUCCCAGGGAUGGGUUCCCCCCCUUCCUCUUUCUCUCCCUCCUAUGACACAUUCCUGGGUGCCUUUGGUGAGGACUGCACACCCUCCUCCUGCCUAGCCCCCUUUCCAAAGGCCCCUGAAUAAACUCCCCGCAAGGAGACCAGGCAGGGCAGAGACAAUGGCUGCAGGAAAUCAUUCAGGCGGGACAUGCUGGCCUGCCCUCCACCCAGUCCCCCUGUGGGCCCCACUCCCUUCUGAUUCAGGGCACCCUUGGGCCCCUAGCCUAUAGAGGCCUGGAUAGGAAGAAACCACUGGGAACAACCCUAAGGACAACAUGUUAGUCCAGUGCCAUUCUCCGCUGGCUCUGUGGGUGCCUUUGUGGCCUGUACCAACUGGCAGGCUAAUUUUGUGUUUUCUGUACCAUCACAUGCCUAUUUUAAGACACUCUCAAGCACUGUCAGUUGGGGAGUGUAAAUUCUACAAUAUUUUCUGAAAUGUGGCAAUAUCAAAAUGUAAAAGGCAAAUAUACUUGGUCACAAAAAUGGCACUAUUUACUCUGUGGGCAUAUUUGUAAAAGUUCCCGAAGAAUUACGUACAAGGAUGUUUAUCAGAGCAUUUCUUUUAAGAGUGUAAAGCAAUGGACAUGAACCUAUGGUCUGUUCAUACUGUGGAAUACCUAUGCAGCUGUAAAAGUCAGUGUGGUAGAUGUCCGUAUAUAAGUUGAUGUGGAAGGUUGGCUAGUUCACAUGAUAAGGUGAAUAGAAUAAGUUACAGAACAGGCUGUGGAGUAUGAUCUUCUUUGUAGAUGUUUAAAAGUGAGUCAUAAGUAUGCUUAUAUAUGGAAGUAUGUACUGGAAGGCUACCUCUAGGGAGUGGGCAUGGGGGAAUGCACUCUUCUAUACUGUUCUGUUUUCUUUUCGUGCUCCUAAGAUACUUUUAUUGAAAGAUGUAAAGGAUUGUUCAGUAUAAUAGGCUUAACUUCUAUCAACUAACUUGGCGUGGGUGCUUUAAGAGGGUGGUAGUGAUGUUACUGGAGAAAGUAUCCCACAAUUAGUGGUGGCUUCAGCCAUGGGCCGUUUUGGGGCCUAAUAAUCACAUACCAUCAUAGUUGCUAGUGUUAAUCGAAAACCUACUAAGUGCCAGGCUUACUGUCACUGGGUCUUGCUUAUGUGGGUAUCAUUAUUCCAGUUUCACCAAAUCAAAAGAGGUUAAUUGGUUUGUUGGAGCUCCUCUGCAGGUGAGGGGCAGAGCCAGGAGCUUGGCUAGGGACAGGGGAGGUGGGUGGGGGAUGGUGGCUAUAUCUUGGCUCUCAGUUUCAUUCCAGGCAGACAUUGCCCCUCUGCCAUGAGGACCUGCUUGUUUGGGGGAGGAGGCCUUUGGAGGCACCGGGGUCAUGCCAAGUGUUGGACAUGGUGAACUGGGAAGUGUCCCCAUUUGGCUAUAGCCCAAAAGUAUCACCGUGCUGGGGGGUGGGGAACAGGGCUGUGAAUGGGCCUAUUUGCAUAAGCAGCAUGUGUCUGGAGAGAAAGACAUCACAGAGCAGAAGAGGUGCGGGUGCCCAGUAGGGCAAUUGCCACCCCUACUUCAUCCCUGAAAGAGUAAAUGGCCUGGAAAGUGUCUCCAAGAGGUAAUGCUGCACACCACCCUCCCUGGUGGCACUGGGUCAGGCUACACCUGCCUUAGGUCGGGGGCUGCAGCAGCCUGCAGAGCUCUCAGUAGUGCCUCAGUAGCCUGGGAGGGAGCAGGGGCAGGGGGCAGGAAGAGGCGUAAUGGGGCUGUCCAGAGGGGUCUGGGAAACCUGGUCCCUGAGGCCUGGGCACAGCUACAGUCACUUCAGAUUGGCUGUGGGGCCAGUGGACUGGGAAGGAAAAAAGCAUUAAGAGUGACUAAGUGCAGAAGGCUGUCAGGUCCCAGGUCACAUGCCUUAGUGCAGUGACUCCUCAUCAUUUUAUGGUGUGUGGGUGUCAUUGGUACACCCAUUUUGCAGAUGAGGACACUGAGGCCCAGAAAAGUUAAGUUACAUGUCCUAAGUCACACAGCUUGUAAGUGCCAGAACUGAGAUCAAAACCAAGUCUCUUUGACUUUGAAGUCUGUACUCUGACUCCAAAGAGAUCCUGUUUGGUUUGGCCACUUAUAGGAGGUCCCUAAAGUUGCAGACUCCCCUUGCCGGUGCCCACAUAUAGAGACAUUAACCCCUGCCCUGCAGGGUCACCUCAAAUAGUCUUUUAGCUGGGCUUCUCCCACAAUUCCACCUAAUGCCAUCCCCUGGGUUUUGCCCAAACCUGGACUGGGCAGCGGGGUGAGAGGAGGGGUUUACAGGGUUACAGAACCUCAUACAGAUUGGAGCCCAUGGCUGCUGGUCAUCUGCAUUCCUGCAGGAUUGGCUGUUCCUUGGGGUCCUUGGCAGGAAGAUGAGGAUGCUCCCGAGGCCUGCUCCAGUGCUUCCCAGAGGCUGGCCUGGAGGGCUCUGGAAAGACUGAGGCUGGAGAGGCAGAAGUAGGAGAGCAGCAAUGGCACUCAGGUAGCUUGAAUCACCAGGACCCUUCCACGCCCCACAGGUCCUCCUGAGGGAGUACUAGGGCAUCCUCUGGGAGAGGUCUCUUCCUAUGCUGUGAACCCCCUGCCUUUCUUGCACCCUACAAUGAAUAAAUUUUCUUUGCAAAG